rnacentral:rRNA from 1 species
GACGAACGCUGGCGGCGUGCUUAACACAUGCAAGUCGAACGGAAAGGCCCUGCUUUUGUGGGGUGCUCGAGUGGCGAACGGGUGAGUAACACGUGAGUAACCUGCCCUUGACUUUGGGAUAACUUCAGGAAACUGGGGCUAAUACCGGAUAGGAGCUCCUGCUGCAUGGUGGGGGUUGGAAGGUUUCGGCGGUUGGGGAUGGACUCGCGGCUUAUCAGCUUGUUGGUGGGGUAGUGGCUUACCAAGGCUUUGACGGGUAGCCGGCCUGAGAGGGUGACCGGCCACAUUGGGACUGAGAUACGGCCCAGACUCCUACGGGAGGCAGCAGUGGGGAAUAUUGCACAAUGGGCGGAAGCCUGAGGCAGCAACGCCGCGUGCGGGAUGACGGCCUUCGGGUUGUAAACCGCUUUCGCCUGUGACGAAGCGUGAGUGACGGUAAUGGGUAAAGAAGCACCGGCUAACUACGUG